UAUCAGCUGCUAGGGGAGUCUGGAACUUACUACGGUGUGCGUUUCGGGAAGAACAUCCCGUGGGUGACGGAGUUCCCGUUUGGAGUCAUAAGAGAUCCACAGUAUGUCGGGAGUAUAAUGUCGCUCUUGGCAUGCCUUCCCUUCGUACCUUUCCAGUACAUCUUCCUAUGGUGUCUUGGCUAUGGUUUCGUGAUGCGCGUGGAGGCAGACGAGGAUCCGAACACUCGGGCCAAACCGCUUUCUUGACUAAUAAACAUCUUUGCUUUCUUGUAACCCCGGGGUUAGAAGAGUGUAUAAAACUGGAUGAGAGGGCGAAGCUACUCGACAACGUUUCGCCUCCUAAGGUAGUAGUUGUGUCUUCCGUUUGGUCUUCAUUUUCUUGGAAGGACAAAUGCUUCUGGUCAGCCUAAAAGGUUAGAAAAUGAAACUUGUAUCUCGAGAAAAUGCCAAAGCCGCUGUGGAGAAAUCGCCACUCCAUACCCAUUUGGGAUCGGGAAGGUCUGCUACGAAAUCGUAUGUCCGUAAUAGCACCUCCGGCUCCAGGAAGCUUGUCCCGUACCUUCCUAGGAUAAACAAGGAAGUACUGACCAGUACGGGUCAAUUUACAUCAGCACUCCGGUAAGGUCUUUGGGUUUCUUUCUUACAGGGAGUACUCGCCUCGUAGCGGUUGGUUGCAACAUUAGUCCGGAACACCUUCCUGUACAUUCAAUAGAAGUUUUUGUUGUAAAAUCACCAUUUACCAAAAAAAAAAAAAGAGUUUUUGUUGUAUUAUUUAAAAAGUGUUAUGAAUUACC